rnacentral:rRNA from 1 species
UACGUAGGGUGCAAGCGUUAAUCGGAAUUACUGGGCGUAAAGUGUGCGCAGGCGGCAGAGCAAGUCGAGUGUGAAAGCCCCGGGCUUAACUUGGGAAUUGCGCUCGAAACUACUUUGCUGGAGUGUGGCAGAGGAAGGUGGAAUUCCAGGUGUAGCGGUGAAAUGCGUAGAGAUCUGGAGGAACACCGAUGGCGAAGGCAGCCUUCUGGGCCAACACUGACGCUCAUGCACGAAAGCGUGGGGAGCAAACAGG